rnacentral:rRNA from 1 species
CAGUCGCCGCGGGAAUACGAAGGGUGCAAGCGUUAAUCGGAAUUACUGGGCGUAAAGCGUGCGUAGGCGGUUUGUUAAGUCUGUUGUGAAAUCCCCGGGCUCAACCUGGGAAUGGCAGUGGAUACUGGCUCGCUAGAGUGUGGUAGAGGAUAGUGGAAUUUCCGGUGUAGCAGUGAAAUGCGUAGAGAUCGGAAGGAACAUCUGUGGCGAAGGCGACUAUCUGGGCCAACACUGACACUGAGGCACGAAAGCGUGGGGAGCAAACAGGAUUAGAUACCCGCGUAGUCCCUGUCUCUUAUAC